UGUGCCAUUGACCUCUUCCACCAUUCAUGAAGGAAGUUCCUUGCCCAAGGACACAACUACAAUAACGUCGCACAAACCCUUCUUCAGUUCUUCUCUCAAACAGAAAACAGUUCACUAUCAUUACGAUGAUUCUAUUGCUUCAUGACAUCGCACGCUUGGAUGAAACAAAACAUAACUCCAGUUAAAAAGACCCAAGAUACUGAUAACUGAC